GCUCCAGAACCAAGCUCCCCAGCGCCCCUCUCCUCACCACCCCGGCUCCUCUUACCCCUCCAAGUUCCCUUUCCCCCUGGCACUGUGUUUUCAGUGGGGGCCCAGGGAGACGAUGAGAGUCUGGGGUUGCUUUCAGCCAGCAAGCAGCAGGCAGGGAGAGAGAAGCUGGCAGAGAAGGCUGAUGGAGCUGGGGCCCUGCUCUGUCAGCCCGACCGGGUCUGAUGCCACCAUAGCGGGCUCUGCCUCCACACGUGCCGGGCCGUUUCUGGGGAUUGAUUGGCAACCAGCUGUCUCUUAGCCAGAGGGAAGGAGGCUGCCCAAGUGACCCAGAGCAUCCCUCCAGCCCCGCUCUAGGCAGGAUAGCUGGGUGGAAAGACGGGUCUUCAGCUGGGCUGGGGUUUUGACCGAUUCUGUCAGAUGUCCCACCUUAGGGGGAGGAAAGCAGGAAUUAACAAACCGGGGUGAUUCAGCAAGUUACAUCAUGGUCACAAGAUGAAUUAUGGAAAUUGCAACAAGAAAAAACGACAUGGUCCUUCAGCGUUUUUGAGCCCCUUUUGUCCGGAAUUCAUGCUGUUUCCUGUUGCUAACGGAGAAUAAAGAGUGACCUGUAUGUUG